AAGUCGUAACAAGGUUUCCGUAGGUGAACCUGCGGAAGGAUCAUUACUAUUUAUUAAUUAUUAAAAUAAUUUUAUUUUAUUGAUUAAUUAAAUACAAACACCAAUCUGUGCUCUUUCUUUUUCCAUCCCACUCAUUUACAAAUUAUUUUUAUUUAAACUGAAUUAAUUGUGUUUAAGUGUUUGAACUUAAUUGUUCAACCUACUCACAUCUGUAUUGCUUAAUGUGUAUGAAACAGUUCUUACUGUCUCAUCCCCAUUCAAUACUUGUUGAACCACAGUGUCUAAUAGAUAUCACUGACUAUUGAUUAUAUUGAUAGUUGAUUGAUAUGUGUUACCACAGUGAAAACAACUCCGAACAAUGGAUAUCUCGGCUCUC
rnacentral:misc_RNA from 1 species